rnacentral:rRNA from 1 species
GACGAACGCUGGCGGCGUGCCUAAUACAUGCAAGUAGAACGCAGUUGCGAACGGGGGAGUAACGCGUAGGUAACUGCCUGGUAGCGGGGGAUAACUAUUGGAAACGAUAGCUAAUACCGCAUACUACCAGAUGGACCUGCGUUGUAUUAGCUAGUUGGUGAGGUAACGGCUCACCAGGGCCACGAUACAUAGCCGACCGGAGAGGGUGAUCUGGCACAGGGGGACUGAGAGACGGCCCAGACUCCGACGGUAGGCAGCGGUAGGGAUGCUUCGGCAAUGGGGGGAACCCUGACCGUGCAACGCCGCGUGAUUGAAGAAGGUUUUCGGAUCGUAAAGCUCUGUUGUUAAGGAAGCGGUACUUAACCAGAAAGGGACGGCUAACUACGUGCCAGCAGCCGCGGUAAUUC